GAUGAACGCUAGCGGCAGGCUUAAUACAUGCAAGUCAAGGGGGUAGCAAUACUACCGGCGCACGGGUGAGUAACACGUACAUAACAUACCAUAUACUGGGGUAUAGCUUUGGGAAACUGAAGGUAAUCCCCCAUAACAUUGCGAGAGGGCAUCUGAUUGCAAUUAAAGUUUCGACGGUAUAUGAUUGAUGUGCGUUUGAUUAGCUUGUUGGUAGGGUAACGGCCUACCAAGGCGACGAUCAAUAGCUGGCGUGAGAGCGCGACCAGCCACACUGGAACUGAGACACGGUCCAGACUCCUACGGGAGGCAGCAGUAGGGAAUAUUGGACAAUGGGCGAAAGCCUGAUCCAGCCAUGCCGCGUGAUAGAUGAAGGCCCUCUGGGUUGUAAAUAUCUUUUAUCUGGGAAGAAACAAUCUUAUUCUUAAGAUCUUGACGGUACCAGAGGAAUAAGCACCGGCUAACUCCGUGCCAGCAGCCGCGGU
rnacentral:rRNA from 1 species